UGAAUACGAGACGCUACGGCGUCGAAGCAGUCUAUGUCAUACUUCCAAGAAAAGCUUGCACUGUCAUAAACAAAUAAUGCCUGUACCAUAACCGACACAGGUGGGUAGGUAGAGUAUACUAAGGGGCGCGAGAUAACUCUCUCUAAGGAACUCGGCAAAAUGACUCCGUAACUUCGGGAGAAGGAGUGCCUUAUUUAUAAGGUUGCAAUAACAAGAUCCAAGCAACUGUUUAUCAAAAACACAGGUCUCCGCUAAGUCGUAAGACGAUGUAUGGGGGCUGACGCCUGCCCAGUGCCAGAAGGUUAAAGAAGUUGGUUAGCAUUAGCGAAGCUGAUAACUGAAGCCCUGGUGAACGGCGGCCGUAACGAUAACGGUCCUAAGGUAGCGAAAUUCCUUGUCGGGUAAGUUCCGACCCGCACGAAAGGCGUAAUGAUUUGGAUACUGUCUCAGAGAGGGGCUCGGUGAAAUAGACUUGUCUGUGAAGAUGCGGACUACCUGCACCAGGACAGAAAGACCCUAUGAAGCUUUACUGUAACUUGAAAUUGAAAUUGGACUUUAUUUGCGCAGUAUAGGUGGGAGGCAUUGAUAAUAUUCUUGCGGGAAUGUUGGAGCCAUCAGUGAGAUACCACUCUUGUAAUGUUAGAUUUCUAACUUUGGAUCAUUAUCUGGUCAAAGGACAGUUUCAGGCGGGCAGUUUGACUGGGGCGGUCGCCUCCUAAAUGGUAACGGAGGCGCACAAAGGUUUCCUCUGAACGGGUAGAAAUCGUAUCUAGAGUGUAAAGGCAUAAGGAAGCUUGACUGUGAGACCUACAAGUCGAGCAGGGACGAAAGUCGGUCUUAGUGAUCUGACGGUGCUGAGUGGAAAGGCCGUCACUCAACGGAUAAAAGUUACUCUAAGGAUAACAGGCUGAUCUCCCCCAAGAGUUCACAUCGACGGGGAGGUUUGGCACCUCGAUGUCGGCUCAUCGCAUCCUGGGGCGGUAGUACGUCCCAAGGGUUGGGCUGUUCGCCCAUGAAAGCGGUACGCGAGCUGGGUUCAGAAUGUCGUGAGACAGUUCGGUCCAUAUCCGGUGUAGGCGUUAGAAUAUUGAGAGGAGCCUUCUUUAGUACGAGAGGACCGAGAAGGACAUACCUCUGGUGUACCAGUUAUCGUGCCAACGGUAAACGCUGGGUAGCUAUGUAUGGAGAGGAUAACCGCUGAAAGCAUCUAAGUGGGAAGCCCACCUCGAGAUAAG
rnacentral:rRNA from 1 species